rnacentral:rRNA from 1 species
UACAGAGGGGGCAAGCGUUAUUCGGAAUUAUUGGGCGUAAAGGGCGCGUAGGCGGCCUGGCAAGUGGAAGGUGAAAUCCCUCGGCUUAACCGAGGAACUGCCCUCCAAACUGCUUGGCUUGAGACCGGGAGAGGUGAGUGGAAUUCCCAGUGUAGCGGUGAAAUGCUUAGAGAUGACAUAGAACACCAAUUGCGAAGGCAGCUGGCUACACAUAUAUUGACACUGAGGCACGAAAGCGUGGGGAUCAAACAGG